GUCUACGGCUAUACCACCCUGAACGUGCCCGAUCUCGUCUGAUCUCGGAAGCUAAGCAGGGUCGGGCCUGGUUAGUACUUGGAUGGAGAAAUUAUAUUCACCUGAGAUACAUGGUCCCUUAAAUA
ensembl:rRNA 5S_rRNA 5S ribosomal RNA